rnacentral:rRNA from 1 species
CGACCACACGAAGCUGGAAUCGCUAGUAAUCGCGAAUCAGAAUGUCGCGGUGAAUACGUUCCCGGGUCUUGUACACACCGCCCGUCACACCAUGGGAGUCAGCAACGCCCGAAGUCAGUGACCUAACCGAAAGGGAGGAGCUGCCGAAGGCGGGGCCGGUAACUGGGGUGAAGUCGUAACAAGGUAGC